ACUAGUAAAGAAGAAUAAGAAGACUGAUAAUGUAUAUAUACAUGAUUACAGGACUCUGAAGAUGGCAUGGCAUUUGCUCAUUCUUUUGUUUGAAAGCUCUCGGCUUCUAACAGCUUAUCACUGAGCGGUGGCUGCAGAUUCAUGAUAAUUAGAUGAUUACUACUUCAGUGAACAGUGAAAGAGGAAUCAAAAGCACAGAAGAAACCUUCACUGGAAGAAGCAAGUAGUUAAAUACUAUGAGGUCAGCGUCCUGAGAGGGUCCAAGCUUCUCUCAUCCCCAAACUUAGAUACGGCAACUCUGAGAUCACCAUACCCUUGAAAAAAGGAAAUAUUCUGGGAAUUGGCCAUCUGGGACUUAACAUAUGUAAGUCCAUUUAUUGGCCAUUCAAUCUUCACGUUUUUGGGACUUGCUCUACCAGGUCAAGAAAUUUCAAAUGGUUAUCAUCAAUUGUACUUUUAUUUCCUACACAACUAUUCUGUGCAUUGAUUUUUCAUGGUGUUUUU